UACCGUAGCAACGCCUGGUUACGUAGGGAAAAACGAUUUGCAAACAAAACAAACCGUUAGUUUUUCGAAAAAAGUUGUUUGGAAGCAUAUAAGUUGAUGAUGUGCUGUGUAGGAACGAGUCGGAAUACGUGUGGAAGAACCAGAACCACCGAUACAAAAAAACCAGUCGAAAAAUAGGAUUGUCCGAAGGAUUCGUAUAUCUAAACCAUGUCCCAUAAAGAUAGGAAAUCCCAUAAAAAACGGCACAACUAUGCGAUCAUGGGUAGUGUAGCCCCAGAUUAUCGAAGAAAUAUCCAGAUAUAUUGAACGAUCAUAAGGAGCUAUUUUGAUUUCAUCGUUGGAUAUGCAAGACUGUUUGAUGCAGUUGAAAUCUAGAAGUAUACAAUUUCCAAGAAUCGCAUUCAACAGCGAUUCCAACCGAAUAAAAUGAAGUUGAAAUAUUUCACCUGAAAGUGACCUUUAAAGAUAUUUAAUAAAGUUGUCUAGAGCAUCCAUUUCUGUUAAUAUUUACCGCUUGAAAAUUUGGCGUAGAAAAUAGAAUUAGUGAGUAAGUACUCCAAUCAAUACAAAAUGCUUCAAAGCAAAAUUAUUAACAGUACCAUCAAUCCAUUAUAAAUACUUGCGAUGAGAAGAAUG